CUGCAAGACACCCUGCUUCUGGCUCUGAGCUUUGCUUGUCUUCAGGGAUGGAGCCCCUCCCAAGGCAAGUUCAACUGGGUUCUUUGGCAGCCGAAGUCUACACGGACCCUGCAGGGAGCGGUGGAGAAAAAUCCUAGAGGCUACCUGCAUUCCUUGGCUUUUAUCCCCAAUCUUCCAUCUUCGGAGCCAGCAACAAUAUAUUGAUCAUGAGGAGAGGGCUCACCCCUCACCCGGAGAAGUAGUUGGGGAAGCAAUAUGCGGAAACAAAGCCAUGAAUCUGACAAGAAAUGUACUUAAGAUUGUAUAUAUGGAGAUGAAUACCCAUUGUCCUUUGCACUUUCUGGAUGAUAAAUUAGAAAAGAAAAAUCCAAAGAAUGAAGUUGUGCUAUUUGUCCUCACUUCUGAUUUGGGAAACUAGAGGAAAUUAAGAUGGGAAAAGACCAUGUGAGGACACAGUGAGAAGGAGACCAUAUGCAAAGCAGGAAGGAAGAUCUCACUGGAACCAAAAACCAGCCCUGCUGGCACCCUGAUCUUGGACUUCUAGCCUUUCUCAGAACUGUGAGAAAAUAAAUUUCUGAUGUUUCAGCC
rnacentral:lncRNA from 1 species